rnacentral:rRNA from 1 species
AGAGUUUGAUCAUGGCUCAGGAUGAACGCUAGCUACAGGCUUAACACAUGCAAGUCGAGGGGAAACGACAUCGAAAGCUUGCUUUUGAUGGGCGUCGACCGGCGCACGGGUGAGUAACGCGUAUCCAACCUGCCCACACUUGGGAGUAACCUUGCGAAAGUAAGACUAAUACCCAAUGACGUCUCUAGAAGACAUCUGAAAGAGAUUAAAGAUUAUCGGUGAUGGAUGGGGAUGCGUCUGAUUAGCUUGUUGGCGGGGUAACGGCCACCAAGGCGACGAUCAGUAGGGGUUCUGAGAGGAAGGUCCCCCACAUUGGAACUGAGACACGGUCCAAACUCCUACGGGAGGCA